rnacentral:rRNA from 1 species
UGGGGAAUAUUGGACAAUGGGCGCAAGCCUGAUCCAGCCAUGCCGCGUGUGUGAAGAAGGCCUUUUGGUUGUAAAGCACUUUAAGCGAGGAGGAGGCUACUUGGAUUAAUACUCUAAGAUAGUGGACGUUACUCGCAGAAUAAGCACCGGCUAACUCUGUGCCAGCAGCCGCGGUAAUACAGAGGGUGCGAGCGUUAAUCGGAUUUACUGGGCGUAAAGCGUGCGUAGGCGGCUUCUUAAGUCGGAUGUGAAAUCCCUGAGCUUAACUUAGGAAUUGCAUUCGAUACUGGGAAGCUAGAGUAUGGGAGAGGAUGGUAGAAUUCCAGGUUUAGCGGAGAAAUGCGUAGAGAUCUGGAGGAAUACCGAUGGCGAAGGCAGCCAUCUGGCCUAAUACUGACGCUGAGGUACGAAAGCAUGGGGAGCAAACAGG